rfam:Candidatus Thioglobus autotrophicus strain EF1, complete genome.
GAAGUUGGUCGGAUGGUCGCUGGUAGGUUUGCUUAUCAGAGGAAAGUCCGGGCUCCAUAGAGCAAAGUGCUAGCUAACAGCUAGGUAGGGUGACCUAAUGGAAAGUGCUGCAGAGAUUUAAACCGCCUGUUUCGGCAGGUAAGGGUGAGAAGGUGCGGUAAGAGCGCACCGCGCGGAAGGCAACAACCGUGGCAAGGUAAACCCCACUUGGAGCAAGCUCAAAUAGGCUACCAUUGAUGCGGCUCGCAUAAGGUAGCGGGUAGAGUGCUAAAGGGUAUUGGUGACAAUGCGCGUAGAUGAAUGACUAUCUAUUACAGAACCCGGCUUAUAGACUAACUUCUUAC